GGUUCUUCUUCGCGGUCUCUGCUCUGGCUGAUCGGCCAGCACUGAAAAUAAUUUGAAUAACUGAAGACCAUGUGUUUAAAAACUUAGUAAAAAGAUGCCAUCCCCUGAAGCUUAUCAAAUCGGUCUGGGUUGGACAGGUCCUAUUGCAGAAUCAUGUGUGGGUUUCCCCAAACAAGCCACUAUCCAUUAGGCUAAAUGACAACUCACAGUGGGCCUAGGCCUAACCUUGAGACAAGAGGGCUCCCAGCGUGUUAUACAGACACCCGUGUUACCACACUGACAAAGACAAGACGUGAUAGUCCAGAGAGCAACACCAAGCCAGAAGCAAGUGAUGUUCUGAAAAGGUCGCUGAGUGUAUGUGUGACAAACAACCAGAAGAGGGCAAGCGAAGCAAAGAAGAGAUGAAGGGGGAAUCAAAUCACUGAAGGGUUUGGACACACACAAUUCCUGUGCAUCCACUCAACUCCUCCAGUGCUUAGAUGGAACAGCAGCCUAUGGUAUGGCACAUUAAAUGAAGGACAACAACUCACAACAAGUACCAAGCCAGUUUUACGAGGACAUUUGGCAGAACAGCAGGAGGGAAACACAGGCAAUGGCUCAACCAAUCCGAGCUGGCAUGUAGGUGGGUGAGGUAUGUAAAAGUUUUACUACCAGCCUAAGCUUUUCAAAUGUUACCUUUGUGACUGAGUGUCUUAUUUAAGAUAAAAGAAGCUCUCUCACUAUCUAUCGAUAGUUUCAAGGGAUGUGCCAAAGCAAAGGCAUUAGAGAUCUUUGACAUCUGAAACUUUUUGUGACCACCUCAUUAGACGAGUAGUUAUCCAUUAGCCUGGCUUUCAGAUCAAGCUUGUUAUCCAUUCUUCCUGUUCCUGAAAUGCAUGC